AUUGAACGCUGGCGGCAUGCUUUACACAUGCAAGUCGAACGGCAGCGCGGGGCAACCUGGCGGCGAGUGGCGAACGGGUGAGUAAUAUAUCGGAACGUACCCAGAAGUGGGGGAUAACGUAGCGAAAGUUACGCUAAUACCGCAUACGAUCUACGGAUGAAAGUAGGGGACCGCAAGGCCUUAUGCUUUUGGAGCGGCCGAUAUCUGAUUAGCUAGUUGGUGAGGUAAAGGCUCACCAAGGCGACGAUCAGUAGCUGGUCUGAGAGGACGACCAGCCACACUGGAACUGAGACACGGUCCAGACUCCUACGGGAGGCAGCAGUGGGGAAUUUUGGACAAUGGGCGCAAGCCUGAUCCAGCAAUGCCGCGUGAGUGAAGAAGGCCCUCGGGUUGUAAAGCUCUUUUGUCAGGGAAGAAACGGUAGAGGCUAAUAUCCUUUGCUAAUGACGGUACCUGAAGAAUAAGCACCGGCUAACUACGUG
rnacentral:rRNA from 1 species